rnacentral:lncRNA from 1 species
UCACGGGUUCCACUCGACUCUGCCCUUUUUGGGUAUUUCAGGUCUUGUUGCGUUUCCAAAAAACAAGUGAACAUUUGACUGACCAUGUGACUUAAUUCUGCAGUCAUGGCCUCCAUUCCCAUUGCGUAUAUCAAGUCGAAGUUUAUCACAGAGCUGACUCAUGUUAGUACCUAUCGCUGUUUCCUCCAACCUCUCAACUUCCUUUUGAAGAUUAACAACAUCCCUCUAUAAUCUGGUAGAUAUUUCAUCUGUCAUUGUUAAAACCUGGGACCUUUUGUGUCUUUGAAAACCACGAUGGUACCUUCCAAAUGAGCUGAGCCUUCCUGCUAAGAGUAAUCUGGAAAAUAUGUGUGAAAGGAAAAGAAGGGUAUAGAGAAGAGAAGAAAAACAUGAGAGAGAGAAAUGUAAAACCCAUUCUGGUAUUGUAUGGUAGAAUAUUCUCAAGAGUGUCUGAUAUCGUUCUUUCUUUCUGAUAUAUUUAGACGUAGUGCAUGCUUACUAAAAUAACCAAGACUAAACUAAAUACUAUAACUACUAAAUUAUUCAAACCUCAGCUGACUCGGGCUGCAUAAGCCACACUCGUAAUUGGGCCUGUAACAAGUUUUUGUUCGUUGCUACCAAAGCCUAUCUACUUAUGCCAGCUCAUAAGGCCACUGGGAAUGAGAUAACAAUCUUUGGGUUGUUUGGAAGUGAAAAUAGUAUGUUUCUACAUGGUUUAGAACUUAAUAGCAUGGUUAUUUACUGCUAAAUUAUCUGAAACAAUUUCUGUAAGAUUUUGAGCUGUUCACACGUCAAAAAGAUUUUGCAAGGGCCUUCUGUUCGGCUGCUUCCAAAUUAUGAUUGGAUUGAGGUCAAAUGAAAACCUUGAAUUCCAGAAAUUUAAGAAAGUUUUUGAAGUAUUUACUAUGGUUUGUGAAAACAUUUGGAAAACACUAGGGAACAAAAAGAGUUCAUUCAAGUUUCAAUAUUAUAUUCUUUUACAAAUUCACCUAAUCAGAAGUUAUUUUCAUGUGUGCGUGUGUCUAGGUGUAUGCAUGUAUAAGCAUAUGUGCAGAUUUGUUGCAAAUCUUAUAUUAUUAUUUUGUUUUUUGUUUCCAACUUGACCUUCUGGCAUCUUUAUUCACAUUAACUCAAACAGCUAGAAUCGUCACCUUAAGAAAUGGAUGGUUAGAAAGAAAAGGAUGAAGACUGAAUAAAGGAGUAAAGGACAGUGUGCUUGUACCAAAAGUCUGAUACGUAGUUUCCUGUCUUAUGGUCUUUUGCCUCAUAAAUUGGUGAUGGCUCCUACCAACAUAUGAUGUAUUCUUUCCCGUAUGUUAUCAGCUCCAAGUUUCAGUUUUAACCAAAUUGGUCUUAACAAAAAAUUAAUUUGCUUGUGAAUAAGUGCAUGCUAUUAGUGAUAAUCUUUUUAGCUACCGAAACAGUGUCAUGCUGUCGUGCAGAACCGAAGUUCUUUAAACUGAGAUCUGAAUUUGACUUUGUUUGGUUGGCAGAAAAUUGAGAAGCAGGGAUCCAAUGAACAAUCCUCUUGAUAUAAGCUUCCUUGCUGGGAAACCCACUCUUAGAUUCGUGGGAAUUGUGUUGUUGACUCCUAGGAAUCUCACAAAAAGUUACCCGAUUUACUAGAUGAGUAUUGAUCUCAGAUCCGGAUGUGAGGCCUUUUGGAUUGUUUUUUGUUCUUGUUUUUGUUGUGUUAGGUUUGGAAUAAAUUCUGGCUUCAUAUUGAAAAACACCAUAUAUAAAAAAUUAUGAUACUGCAGUGAAUACUUGGUUUGAACUUUCAGAUUAUUUUGAAGUGACUUGAAAAGGGCGCAUAACAUAUUUGGCAUAUAUAUAUGUAUCUAUUUGUUGAGAUCUUAAAUGAAGAAAAAAUUUAAGAAU